AUGAACGCUGGCGGCGUGCCUAAUACAUGCAAGUCGAGCGAACAGACGAGGAGCUUGCUCCUCUGACGUUAGCGGCGGACGGGUGAGUAACACGUGGAUAACCUACCUAUAAGACUGGGAUAACUCCGGAAACCCGGACCAAUUCCCGAUAAAUUUAUUGAACCCAAUGUUUCACUAGUAAAAGAGGUUUUUGUGUUCACUAUUACAUGUAUCCGCGCAGCAUUAGCUAGUUGGUAAGGUAACGGCUUACCAAGCCGACGAUGCGUAGCCGACCUGAGAGGGUGAUCGGCCACACUGGAACUGAGACACGGUCCAGACUCCUACGGGAGGCAGCAGUAGGGAAUCUUCCGCAAUGGGCGAAAGCCUGACGGAGCAACGCCGCGUGAGUGAUGAAGGUCUUCGGAUCGUAAAACUCUGUUAUUAGGGAAGAACAAAUGUGUAAGUAACUAUGCACGUCUUGACGGUACCUAAUCAGAAAGCCACGGCUAACUACGUG
rnacentral:rRNA from 1 species